UAANACAUGCAAGUCGAACGAGCGAGAGAGAGCUUGCUUUCUCGAGCGAGUGGCGAACGGGUGAGUAACGCGUGAGGAACUUGCCUCAAAGAGGGGGACAACAGUUGGAAACGACUGCUAAUACCGCAUAAGCCCACGACCCGGCAUCGGGUUGAGGGAAAAGGAGUGAUCCGCUUUGAGAUGGCCUCGCGUCCGAUUAGCUAGUUGGUGAGGUUAAACGGCCCACCAAGGCAACGAUCGGUAGCCGGACUGAGAGGUUGAACGGCCACAUUGGGACUGAGACACGGCCCAGACUCCUACGGGAGGCAGCAGUGGGAAUAUUGCACAAUGGGGGAAACCCUGAUGCAGCGACGCCGCGUGGAGGAAGAAGGUCUUCGGAUUGUAAACUCCUGUUGUUGAGGAAGAUAAUGACGGUACUCAACAAGGAAGUGACGGCUAACUACGUG
rnacentral:rRNA from 1 species